GGGCACUGGACCAAAAGCUGUGAAGCCUGGGUCCUAGAUCAGCUGAGUGACCUUGGCGAAGUCCUUUUCUCCCUCCUGCCGGCCUCCCGCACGGGAUCCCGCACAAGCUUAAUGAAGGAAAAGCUGCAGAUAGCAUGAAAGACUGGGUCUCAGUAUGUAGGUCAGGCUGGGUUCCAACUUGUGGCGAUCCUCUUGCCUCAGCCUCCUGUGCGCUGGGGUUACAGUCAUGAACCACCACUUCCAGCUCACAAAGAAAAAAAGAAAAGAAAAUAAGAAGAAGAAGAAGUAAAAACUAAUGAACAUCUCUAAGCUCACGAUCUCUGAGGCCCAGGAACGUUGGAACAGGUUAGCUGGUGCGUGGAGGUGUCCCCGGGAGCGGCAGACAUUUGCGGGCUUGACUGAGGCUGGAGAUCUGUUACCAGGUGGUUCAUUCACAUGACUGAGAGGAAGCCUCGGUCCUGGGGUGCUGCGGAGACUUCGUGCCUCACAGCCCGCGCCUACCCAUGGGGCUGCCGCAGCGCCGGCUUGCACAACCAAUAGGACGAGAACCUAGAAGGAACCGCGCAGCCUUUUGUGACCUACGUCCGGAAGUCACAAUCGCCUCUGCCACAUUCUAUCCACCAGCGGCACAGGCUGGUCGGAAGACUUGAGCGCCGCCUCUGAAGAGGGGUGGCCGAUUGCACAGCCGCCACCAGGGGUCACUUCCUCCUGUGCUGAGUGCACGCACUCCGAGCCAGCCAGCAUCCUCAAAUGCCUCCUGCGGCUGAUGAAAGGAAGGGAAUUUUCUGUUCAGCAUUCAGAGGAAAGAAAAAGAAAUGUAGAUAAUCUUGGGAAAUCGUCAAUAGUAACAGAUUUGCCAUAAAUAAAAUGUUACAGAACACACUUACAGAUGCCAGCUCACAAGUGGCUCCUCCAGAUACGCCCAGGGCUGUGUUCAGAUAGUUUUGGUUGUGUGUGUUACUGGGAUUGAACCCAGGGCCUUCCCCAGCUCUUUUUAUUUUUUAUCUCAGACGGAGUCUCACUAAAUUGCUACAUUGUCCAGGGCUCAAAUGUUUGAUCUUCCUGCCUCAAUUUCCCAGAGCGCUGGGAUUAUUAUAUGUAUGCCCCACCACGCCCAGUUCAUUUUCCUUUCUUUUUUGGAGGCAGAGUAUCGCUAUGCAGUCCAGGCUGGCCUUCAAUUCAUGGAUUCCCCUGCCUCAGCAUCCUGAGUGCUGGCAUCACGCUAUGAGUUGUAUUUUGUAGUAACCCACUGAUUGACUGCUAAAGGCAGGAUUUGUAAGGAAAACAAUUUAAUACAGGACACAUAGUUUAUAGGAUUAUUUUAUAGUAGUCACCCAAAGAGUCAAAUACAAAAGAGUGCAAGACAUUUAUUCUCAGACUAGAAAAAUCAAAGAAUCCAGGUGAGGUCUGGAUCCCACAGCUGUGUCCUGCAUGAGUCUAGCUAGAACCCUAGAGCCAUGACCAUGCCUCCAAUGAGUCCAGCUGAAGACCUAAAGCCCACGACAAUGUCUCCUGCACACCUGUUUCAAGGAUCUGCACUGGGAAGGCGCCCAGGCCAGUGGUGUAAGCUAGAAGUCUACACUAGAGCUAGGAAGCAAGGCUCAAAGUAAGGACCAGGGAUCUCCCCGAAAAGUACCACAGUCAUCUUCUGUGGAGCUCCUCUGACAAUGAGAAUAGUCAAGCUCCUACCAGGAAGCCAGUGCAACAAGCUUUUCCAGGAGGACUGACAGCACCACCUCUCCCUCUCCAGUUCUCCUUUUUAUGCUGUUGGCAACAAUCCUCAGGUGGGCCUUCCACACCCAGCACCACACUAAUUCAGUUCAGCUGGGUGUAACAAGCUGCUGCCAGUCCAGCAUGACUAUGCCACUUUUUUUUUUUUCUCUUUGUAAGACAGGGUUUCACUAUGCAGUUCAGGCUGACCUAGAGUUCACUUUGUAGCCCAAGCUGGUCUUGAAUUUGCAAUGAUCCUCCUGCCUCAGCCUCCUCAAUGCUGAGAUUACUGUUGUGGGCCACCAUGCCUGGCUUAUACCACAUUUUUAAAGAAAAAAAAAUUUUUUUUGUACCAGGAAUGUAACUCAGGACUUUGUGCUUGCCAGGUAAGUGCUUAUGCCACUGAGCUACAUUCCCAGCCCAUUUAUUGAUGUAUUGAUCCUUUCAGUUUUUUUUUUUAAACAGACAGCACUGGGAUCUAACCCUGGGUAUGGAGCAUGCUAGGCAGGUGCUUUACCACUGAGUACAGCCCAGCCCUGUGAGUGCAUUUGUUCAGCUACCAUCUCUUAGCCCUGAGCCUCACCCAUCUUAGCUGCAAGCCUUUGCUACUCUGCUAGUGGGAGCUCCACUUGUUCUGCCUGCCAGGGGCACCCAAAGGACACUGGAACCUAGAGAACAGUUAGGCCAGCUCCCACCUGUGCCAGUCCUGUCCCAGCGUCUCAACACAGGUCCUUGCUGGGAGCAGAGCUGGCUUCUGCCUCCCACACACUUGAGCAGUACCCUUAGCACCCAGCAGCACCCUGCCACUGAGAUCCAGGUCCCAUCACUCCUCUGAGCUUCUUGGCUUUAUUCCCCAGACCUAGAGGUGGGUGCUAAUAACUGCAUCUGGUUUUGACUUUGUUUUUUGAGGCAUACAUAGCCCAGGCUGGUUUUGAACUCUCAGAUCCUCCUGCCUCAUCUUCCUGAGUGCUAGGGGUACAGGUGUGUGCCACCACACUGGCUUUCUCCUGCAUUAUCACUGGGUGCGUUCAUGCCCCCUUAACUUAGUUCCCCGAUACUUGUACAAGCAGACCAUUCCUUAUAUUAAUUUGUUUGGUUAAAUCAAUUGGUUUAGGGCUGGGAUUUAGCUCAGUGGGGUAAGUGCCUGCUUAGCAAGUGCAUGGUUGUGAGUUUGAUCCCCAGUACCCAAAUAAGUAAAUAACUGAAUAAAUAAUUGGCCUAACCUGAGGUAGUGGCAUAUGCCCAUAAUCCCAGCAUUCAAGAUGCGUGGGCAGGAGGAUCUCUGGAAAUUUGGGAUGCACACUGAGUUCAAGGCCAGCCUGAACUACAUAGUGAGGCCCUGAUUCACAAACAGUAAUUGGCAUAGCCCCAAUAAGGUAUAAGUAAUUGCUUUGUCUCAUGUAGACCAAUGGCUACCUAACUAUCAGGAGCGGCCCACCAGGCUGUCUCCAGCAUGGGGUAUCGGGAGAGUGCUGCUGGAGUGUCCCUUACCUGGCUUUAGGUGAGUGGAUACCUGUAAAUGGACUGGCUAGUCAUAGGAUAUGUCUGCAUUUGUUUUUAGCAAAUGCUACCAAAAGUAUUUCCAAAAUAGUUGUAGCGAUAAUUGCAUUGAUUUUAAGGCAUUCCUAGUAUUUCCCACUGAUUCUCAGAACUUUUUAAAUUCAGAAAAAAGUCAAUAAAGUGCACACUAGGGGCUGGAGGUUUAGCUCACCGGCAUAAGUGCCUGCCUUGCAAGCAGGCAGUUGUGAGUUCGAUCCCUGGUACCAAUAAAAAGGAAAAAGACAAAAAGGGGGGGGGGAUAAAUAAAUAAAUAAAGUGCACACUACCAUGAAUUAAUCUGUAGCCCAGAAUCUUUCUUUACGUUGCAGUGCUAAAGAAACCUAAAACUGUGUUGCCUGAGGACAGUUUUUUUUGUUUUGUUUUGUUUUUGUCUUUUUGACACUCACUAUGUAGUUCAGGCUGCCCUAUAGCUCACUUUGUGUCCCAGGCUGGUCUUGAACUCACAGAGAUCCUCCUGCGUCAGCCUCCCAAGUGCUGGGGUAAAGAUCUGUGCUACCACGCCUGGCUCAGGCUUUUCUUUUAUGAAGUACUGCGGUUGUGGGCAGGGCCUUUCUUUCUUCUUUCCUUCCUUCCUUUCUUUCUUUUGUUGGGGAUCCAUCUCAUGAUCUCACACUUGCCAGGCAGGUACUUAUGCCACUGAGCUAUAUCCCCAUUCCUUGAUUUUGCAUUCUUAAUUUCUCCAUCAGUUCUUGGUAAACAGCAAGUACUGUGGAAUUCAUAAAACAAAAGGUGGGCACAGUGGCAUAUAUCUAUAAGCCCAGCUACUCAGAAGGCUAUGGCAGAAGGAUCACAAGGUUAAGGCCAACCGACGCAGCUUGAUGACUUAGUGAAACUCUGUCUCGCAAAUAAAAAUAAAGCCAGGCAUGGAGGUGCACAUCCGUAAUUCCAGCAUUCAGGAGGCUGAGGCAGGAGAACCACUGAAAGUUUGAGGCUAGCUUGGGCUAUAUAAUGAGUUCAAGGCCAGUUUGAACUAUAUAGCAAGACCUUGUUGCAAAAUAAACAAAAUAAAAAGUUUUGGGGGGUUGUAGCUCAGUGGAAAGGCCUGGGUUCCAUCCCCAGUAUUAUAAACAAACAAAUAAAAUCUAUACUUUCUUUUUCUUUCUUUUUUUUUUUUUUUUUGGCGUUUUUCGGGUUUUUAUCGGUACAAGGGAUCGAACUCACAACUGCCUGCUUGCAAGGCAGGUGCUUAUGCCGCUGAGCUAAAUCCCCAGCUCCAAUAUCUAUACUUUCUAAAACAACCUUGUUAUGAGUUUCACAAGUUUAUUUUUUAUAUAAUACAGUACUAGUAGCUAUGCCUUUCUUCUAAUUUUGCAACUAAUACAACUCUUCCUAUUAAGAGUAGUUAGAUCACUAUAGAAAAGAAACUAAGAGGUGGGGCUGGGAAAAAGGAGAGUAAGGGGGUAUAAAAGAUGUGUUCUGUCCAUGUGCUAACCCCCACAAUGAAUAAUUAACUAUGUUCUACAUAAUUGAUUGGUACAAACAUAUACCAAUCAAAAUUUAAUUAUUUUUCUUUUGGUUUUUUUGAGGCAGGGUCUUGCUCACUGUGUAGCUGAGGCUGGCCUCAAACUCCUAGAGAUCCUUCCGUCUCAGCCUCCCGAGCACUGGGAUCACAGGCAUGUGCCAUCACACAUGGCUAAAAAUUUUUAAAUACACAAAAUUAGGAUGUGUUCAUUGAAAAUAUGAUGAAGAAAAGGAGAUACUCAACUAGAAUUCCAGCUAAAUGUAUUUUGAACCGAUGGAUAUGUACAGCAUAUUCUGUGAUGCAUCCCAGGCAGUAAUUGGAGCGGGUGGAAUCUCUUCUCCUGCGCUUUGUCGCCAGCGUGGAAGCACAAUGUUCUGAAGCAUCAUGCAGCGUGAUACAGUAUUUUCUAUUUCGGACUUCUCGGACAUUUCUUCAGUUCUCCUCUUUCCCUCUCCACUUCCUGUCUACCGCUACAUGUAGUGACCUAACACCUGGACAAUCUGGUCAUCCCUAGCUGGGUAUUGCCUUGGCUGUUUACUGCCAGCACCCAGACUAGUAACUCAAGACAACAGCGGUUUAUUAUUUCUCUGACCUCCCUGGGAAGUUCUGGUCUCACCUGGGCUCACUCAUGCUGCCGAAUCCAUCUGCUGGGUCCACCAGGCUGGGAGGACAAGAUGACCACAACCCUACCCCCAGGACGUGGGUGUACAGACAUGGGCCACCCUUCAGCUGGGGCUGAAAUUUCUGGAAGGAGUCACAGCUCCUGCAACCCGACUCCCAAGUUCCGAGGAGAAAAUCGAGUCGACAGUCUUAUAUUUACACACACGCAUACACAGCAUCACUAGAAAUUAGGUAUUUAAACCGUGUAAGAGCAAAUAAACUGAGCACCGUGAAAGCAAAUUUAUCUGCUAAUAGCUCCCGGCAAGCAUUAAAAUCAAUUUAGAGGAGAUAGUGAUGUUGAAAUUGUCCAGAAAAUGAGUUCUGCAGAAAAAUAUAAACAAAAAGGCUCAUAAUGCAUAUUUUCAGUGGGGUAAAGUUUGAAAAAUAGGCCAAUGUCUUCUAAAAAUACAAAUAAAUAGUAUCACAACCAUGGA